rnacentral:rRNA from 1 species
CUGGCGGCGUGCCUAACACAUGCAAGUCGAACGGAAGCUUAACGCUGACGAGACUCGGUCAAAUCUGUUAAGCUUAGUGGCGGACGGGUGAGUAACGCGUGGGCAACCUGCCUCAUACUGGGGGAUAACAGUUGGAAACGACUGUUAAUACCGCAUAAGCGCACAGAGUCGCAUGACUCAGUGUGAAAAACUCCGGUGGUAUGAGAUGGGCCCGCGUCAGAUUAGCCAGUUGGCGGGGUAACGGCCCACCAAAGCGACGAUCUGUAGCCGGACUGAGAGGUCGGACGGCCACAUUGGGACUGAGACACGGCCCAAACUCCUACGGGAGGCAGCAGUGGGGGAUAUUGCACAAUGGAGGAAACUCUGAUGCAGCGACGCCGCGUGAAGUGAAGAAGUAUUUCGGUAUGUAAAGCUCUAUCAGCAGGGAAGAAAGGCUCGCAAGAGAGAUGACGGUACCUGACUAAGAAGCCCCGGCUAACUACGUGCCAGCCGCCGC